rnacentral:misc_RNA from 1 species
GAUGAAGAACGUAGCGAAAUGCGAUAAGUAAUGUGAAUUGCAGAAUUCCGUGAAUCAUCGAGUCUUUGAACGCACAUUGCGCCCCCUGGCAUUCCGGGGGGCAUGCCUGUCCGAGCGUCAUUGCUGCCCUUCAAGCCCGGCUUGUGUGUUGGGUCGUCGUCCCCCCCGGGGGACGGGCCCGAAAGGCAGCGGCGGCACCGCGUCCGGUCCUCGAGCGUAUGGGGCUUUGUCACCCGCUCGAUUAGGGCCGGCCGGGCGCCAGCCGGCGUCUCCAACCUUCUAUUUUACCAGGUUGACCUCGUAUCAGGUAGGGAUACCCGCUGAACUUAAGCAUAUCAAUAAGCGGAGGA